CCCGCUUACACCGGAUAAAUCUCUGUGAAACCCAGAUUAUUGUGAGCCAACCUUCUAGCCCAAAUCUUCUCAAUAUUAUCCACUUAACUUAAUCUACUAACUAAAACAUUUUUACAGCUUAGUAAAGGAGAUUAAAAAACUUUUAAGAGCUACAAAAAGAGUACCGCAAGGGAAAGAUGAAAUAAAAAUGAAACAAAUUUUAAGCAAAAAACAGUAAAGGCAAACCCUUGUACCUUUUGCAUCAUGGUUUAACUAGUCAAAUCAAGCGAAAAGAUCUUUAGUUUGACUUCCCGAAACUAAACGAGCUACUUUGAGGCAGCUUACUGAGCCAACCCGUCUCUGUUGUAAAAGAGUGGGAAGACCUCUAAGUAGGGGUGACAGACCUACCGAGUUUAGUGAUAGCUGGUUGCUUAAGAAAAGAAUAUAAGUCCUCACUAAAUUGACCUCCAUACAAAAAAAUUUUACUUUCAAUUUAGCUUUAUUCAAGUAAGGUACAGCCUGCUUGAAAAAGGAUACAACCUCUACAUAUGGGUAAUUUAUGCAUCAUCCACAACUAAGUGGGCCUAAAAGCAGCCACCUAAAUUAAUAGCGUCACAGCUUAAUUGUGUAUUAGCUAAAUUUUAUCUUCCAUGCAAAACCCUACACCUCUAUUAAGCAAUUCCAUAAAGUUAUGGAAAAUUUUAUGUUAAAACUAGUAACAAGAAGCCAUACUUCUCUUUAAUGCAAAUUCACAUCAGUCUGGACCAACCACUGAUAAAUAACACCCAUAACCCUACAGUAAUAACGUAACAAGAAAACUUUACUUUUUUCAGUGUUAACCUAAUACAAGAGCAUUUCAAGAAAGAUUAAAAGAAAAAGAAGGAACUCGGCAAACAUUGACCCCGCCUGUUUACCAAAAACAUCGCCUCUUGCCCGAUAUAAGAGGUCCAGCCUGCCCAGUGACAUUGUUCAACGGCCGCGGUAUCCUAACCGUGCGAAGGUAGCGUAAUCACUUGUUCUUUAAAUGAGGACUAGUAUGAAAGGCACCACGAGAGUCAUACUGUCUCCUUUCUCUAAUCAGUGAAACUAAUCUCCCCGUGAAGAAGCGGGAAUAAAAUUAUAAGACGAGAAGACCCUAUGGAGCUUAAAACAAAUAAUACUUGCCUACCUAACCCUUAAUUUCAGAAAAACCCCCUACUCUGGCAUUAUACUUAUUAGUUUUUGGUUGGGGUGACCACGGAACAAAAAAUAACCUCCGCAGUGAAAGACACUCCUCCACAAGUCAAGGACCACAAUCCUACACAUUAACAAAUUGACACCAAUUGACCCAAUAUGUUGAUCAAUGAACCAAGUUACCCUAGGGAUAACAGCGCAAUCUACUUCAAGAGCUCCUAUCGACAAGUAGGUUUACGACCUCGAUGUUGGAUCAGGGUAUCCUAGUGGUGCAGCCGCUACUAAAGGUUCGUUUGUUCAACGAUUAAAACCCU
rnacentral:rRNA from 1 species